rnacentral:rRNA from 1 species
CUGGAGGUAUCAGAAGUGCGAAUGCUGACAUAAGUAACGAUAAAGCGGGUGAAAAGCCCGCUCGCCGGAAGACCAAGGGUUCCUGUCCAACGUUAAUCGGGGCAGGGUGAGUCGACCCCUAAGGCGAGGCCGAAAGGCGUAGUCGAUGGGAAACAGGUUAAUAUUCCUGUACUUGGUGUUACUGCGAAGGGGGGACGGAGAAGGCUAUGUUGGCCGGGCGACGGUUGUCCCGGUUUAAGCGUGUAGGCUGGUUUUCCAGGCAAAUCCGGAAAAUCAAGGCUGAGGCGUGAUGACGAGGCACUACGGUGCUGAAGCAACAAAUGCCCUGCUUCCAGGAAAAGCCUCUAAGCAUCAGGUAACAUCAAAUCGUACCCCAAACCGACACAGGUGGUCAGGUAGAGAAUACCAAGGCGCUUGAGAGAACUCGGGUGAAGGAACUAGGCAAAAUGGUGCCGUAACUUCGGGAGAAGGCACGCUGAUAUGUAGGUGAAGUCCCUCGCGGAUGGAGCUGAAAUCAGUCGAAGAUACCAGCUGGCUGCAACUGUUUAUUAAAAACACAGCACUGUGCAAACACGAAAGUGGACGUAUACGGUGUGACGCCUGCCCGGUGCCGGAAGGUUAAUUGAUGGGGUCAGCGCAAGCGAAGCUCUUGAUCGAAGCCCCGGUAAACGGCGGCCGUAACUAUAACGGUCCUAAGGUAGCGAAAUUCCUUGUCGGGUAAGUUCCGACCUGCACGAAUGGCGUAAUGAUGGCCAGGCUGUCUCCACCCGAGACUCAGUGAAAUUGAACUCGCUGUGAAGAUGCAGUGUACCCGCGGCAAGACGGAAAGACCCCGUGAACCUUUACUAUAGCUUGACACUGAACAUUGAGCCUUGAUGUGUAGGAUAGGUGGGAGGCUUUGAAGUGUGGACGCCAGUCUGCAUGGAGCCGACCUUGAAAUACCACCCUUUAAUGUUUGAUGUUCUAACGUUGACCCGUGAUCCGGGUUGCGGACAGUGUCUGGUGGGUAGUUUGACUGGGGCGGUCUCCUCCUAAAGAGUAACGGAGGAGCACGAAGGUUGGCUAAUCCUGGUCGGACAUCAGGAGGUUAGUGCAAUGGCAUAAGCCAGCUUGACUGCGAGCGUGACGGCGCGAGCAGGUGCGAAAGCAGGUCAUAGUGAUCCGGUGGUUCUGAAUGGAAGGGCCAUCGCUCAACGGAUAAAAGGUACUCCGGGGAUAACAGGCUGAUACCGCCCAAGAGUUCAUAUCGACGGCGGUGUUUGGCACCUCGAUGUCGGCUCAUCACAUCCUGGGGCUGAAGUAGGUCCCAAGGGUAUGGCUGUUCGCCAUUUAAAGUGGUACGCGAGCUGGGUUUAGAACGUCGUGAGACAGUUCGGUCCCUAUCUGCCGUGGGCGCUGGAGAACUGAGGGGGGCUGCUCCUAGUACGAGAGGACCGGAGUGGACGCAUCACUGGUGUUCGGGUUGUCA